AGGCCCGGCACGGGAGAGCGGCGAGGCUGCGGGGAGCGGAGCGCUCGGGGCCGGCGGCGAUGCGGGCCGGGGUCCCGGGGUCCCGGGAAAGCACAAUCAUAGAUUUCUCUUGGAGUUUCCCAAGAUCCUCAUGGGAACCAGAACACUGAUUUCCUCAGGACUCCAUUAUCCACUGCCCUGUGUGUUAAUUUAAUCAACACUUCCACAGCUCUUUGGAAUUCCGGUUGAGUUCCCUCGGGGUGACUUCGUGAUUCCCUCACUGCUGGUGCUUCCAGAAAGUCAAGUCCUCCACGAUGUACUGGUGAUAGGGAUCGUUGGAGUGCUCCCUCCUCUUGGAUUUCACAGUGCUCACCAGGAUGGCCACGAUGAUGAAGGAGAACAUCCCAAUCAUCACCAUCAGGAUCAGGAUCAAGUGAGCAACACUUCCAAGCCCUUGCUGGGAGAAGGAAAUCCUCCCAGCCAGCCAGGAGCAGCCUCUCGGAGCUCUGCUCUGUGGGCACCUCACUCAUGAGCUGCAGCAGGAAAAGACAAAAAGUUACUAAAGAAACCCCAAAAAACCAAAGCAAAACAGAAAGAAAAGGAGAAUAAAUGAGUGUUGACUUUCCUCCUGGCAAGCAGCACACACUGACACCUCAGUGAGAGGCUCUGAGGCACCUGAGAGAGCAGGAAUUUGCUCAGUGAAACGAGACCACGUCAGGAGCAUCAGCAGCUGCUCCUGCUCUGGUGGGGACAUCCAAGGAGGGGGGUUCUGGUGGGAUUGAGGUGCUCCCCAAGCACUCAGGCUGGGACAGAGCUGCUCUAAAAAACACAUUUUCAUUUUACAGCCAGUCCUGCCUAAGAAAUGUCACCUUUGAGGGACAUUUAAGGCAGCGGGGAGUGACCCUGAAUCCACAGCACACACCAGAGGGAGGGAGAUGUGCUCCUGGGGUGGAAAAGUGCUGAUCCCUGAGGAAGCCCUGCUGCUCCUGCCAUUGGCAUGGUUCCUGCUCUCCUUGCUCCUGGACAUGUUCUGAGUGUGAAACCUCCCGGCACAGGGAUGAGCUGCUGGCAGCAUUUCCUCCUGAUCCCACACUUUUCCUGGCAGGUUCCUUUGGCUUUGCCUCUGGAAGUCCAGGGAGCUGGCACAGCUUCGGUUUGCUCUGAGGAACCCCAGAGGGACCUCACUGCACUGUGCACAGACAUUCCCUGGCUGCUCCCAGCUGGAUAAAAUCACCUGGAGCUCUUUUGUCUGGCUGUGGAAAUAAGAGAAGAGCCUGGAAGUUCCCAAGUUCUGGAAUAACUGCCAACAAUGUGGUGAAAUGUAUCCCUUCCUCAACCCCUCUCUUCUACCAGCUGUUCCUGGCCAGACCUGUUCCCAAUGGAGCCAAAGAUUUCCUGAAUAAUCCCAGUCUGCUGCGUGUCCCCCCUGAAGGUCGCUUUGCUCAGGGUUUGCUUAGUCUGGAGAGCAAUGAGGUGGUCAAGGACAGCCAGGGUGGGAAUGAUUAAACAGGAGGAGGAGCCCUUUCUUGGGUGGGAAAGGUGGAAACCUUAAUAUUAGUCUGGAAUGGAGACUAGUGCCAAGCAAAAUGCUCCUGAUCUUAUGGAAUCACAGAAUAAUGGAAUUCCAGAGCUGGAAGGGACCCCCAGGGAUCACCCAGUCCCACCCCUGGCCCUGCCC